GCAAACUUGGUCAUUUAGAGGAAGUAAAAGUCGUAACAAGGUUUCCGUAGGUGAACCUGCGGAAGGAUCAUUAUUGAAUAAACUUGGUUGGUUGUCGCUGGCUUUUCGAAGCAUGUGCACGCCUUCCGACUUUAUCCAUCCACCUGUGCACCAUUUGUAGUCUUGAGAGGUUGAAAGCGGCUGACAUCGACCCCCGGUCGGAUAGGGAGAAUGCCCCCUUGGGGCUCUCCUGGGUUGUGAUCACUUCUCAGACUAUGUUUUCACAUAAACUAUGUAGCAUGUCACAGAAUGUAUCGAGUGGGCCUUUGUGCCUAUAAACAUCAAUACAACUUUCAGCAACGGAUCUCUUGGCUCUCGCAUCGAUGAAGAACGCAGC
rnacentral:misc_RNA from 1 species